UACGUAGGGGGCAAGCGUUGUCCGGAAUCAUUGGGCGUAAAGAGCGCGUAGGCGGCCCUGUAAGUCCGCUGUGAAAGUCAAGGGCUCAACCCUUGAAUGCCGGUGGAUACUGCAGGGCUAGAGUCCGGAAGAGGCGAGUGGAAUUCCUGGUGUAGCGGUGAAAUGCGUAGAUAUCUGGAGGAACACCGGUGGCGAAGGCGGCAUCCUGGACCGGCAUUGACGCUGAGGAGCGAAAGCCAGGGGAGCAAACGGG
rnacentral:rRNA from 1 species